rnacentral:misc_RNA from 1 species
UAUGAUCAAAUGCCAGAAGCUAUGAGAAGCAUGGGAGCAGCUGCAUAUUUAAGCAUAAUUGGACUUGGGAGUUUCAUAAAUACUGCGGCUAUAUCUCUAGUGCAGGCUAUUACCUCUAGGCGUGGAGGUGUUUGGCUUGGAGAUAAUCUGAAUCGUGCACAUCUUGAUUACUUCUACUGGGUAUUGGCAGUAAUAAGUGCUUUAAAUUUGUGUGUUUUUAUAUGGGGC